UUUCUUUCUUUCUUUCUUUUCUGUAUUGGGAUAAAUUCCUUUGUUUUUCCUAUUGGAUACGAAGCUUACAGGAUUAGUGACUAUUUCUACUGCAGUAAAUUUGGAGUCAUUUUGAAAAAUGGGGCCAUCUUCAAGAAAGCAAAUCUGAAGAAAUAAAGAUGAAGAAAAUGAUCUUUGAUAUCAUGAUUUGAGCCCUGAAGGAGUAUAAGCUGUGUAUCUAUUUCCUGACUGCCUAGUUAUUUGAUACAAAGCAUCCUCCUCUCCAUUCUUUUUUAACUUGAGCUUUUCCUAACAACAGAAAUAAUUUUCACUGGUAUAUUCAUGGAAAAUAAUGGCACAGCUGUUGGUACUGGGAGUAUUAGAGAUAUAAAAACACUACUUCUGACUUCAAAGAAUUCACAGUUCUUAGAAGAAUACAUACACACACUCCAGUUAUUCCAAUAUAUAAGAAUUAUGCAUGGAAUUGGGAAGAACAGGUUAGGGUGAGAGUAGGGCGAAGAAGACUUCCCAGAAAAAUGGCAUUCAAAUUAAGUCAUCAAAGAAAUAUAUAUUUAAGUAAGAUUGGUCUGAUUCCUACUUAAGUUGGAAUUUCUUCAAAACCAGUCCAAGAUACAGGACAUGGAUACAAGCUUUUUAUUUUGGACAUAAUCCCAGGAAAUAUGAGAAUGUAAGAGAGGGAAUAGGAAAGAUGAUACAAGGAAGUAAGUAAGGGAAAAUUUACAAGUAAACUAUGCUGGAUAACUGGUCAAAGAAGCCAUCAAAUUUAUCCAUUACUCCCUCCCAGAAUGGUUGCUUGUUGUUCCCAGGGUUACCUCCUCUACACUUUUUGGCUAUGAGAAGAAGAAUAUUCUCUGUGGCAGUGAAGAGAGCUAAUUGGGGGGAAAAGAAGCAUAUACUGUCAAUGUGCUGGGAACUAAUUGCAGGUAAACUGAGGGAUUGAACUUGGGUCCUUGCGCUUGCGCAGCAGGCGGCGAAAUGAGUGAGCUAAAUCCCCAGCCCAGUUCUAUAAAUUUUUAUUGAAAGCUCAUACUUAUUCCAGGUAAUGUGGACAAAACCCCUUCUCUUAUUGGGUAGUCUAGACUCUCCUGCUAAUCAUGAUUUUAACCAGGAUGAUGAUAACCUGACAUUUAUGUGUUGCUUACUGUGGGUCAGAUGAUAUUUUUUAG
rnacentral:lncRNA from 1 species